rnacentral:rRNA from 1 species
GACGGAGGAUGCAAGCGUUAUCCGGAAUUAUUGGGCGUAAAGCGUCCGUAGGCGGUUUCAAAAGUCUGUUGUUAAAGCCCACAGCUCAACUGUGGAUCGGCAAUGGAAACUGUGAGACUAGAGAGUGGUAGGGGUAGAGGGAAUUCCUAGUGUAGCGGUGAAAUGCGUAGAUAUUAGGAAGAACACCAGUGGCGAAGGCGCUCUACUGGGCCAUUACUGACGCUGAUGGACGAGAGCUAGGGGAGCGAAAGGG